rnacentral:tRNA from 1 species
GGCGCUAUCGUCUAGUGGCCUAGGACACCACCCUCUCAAGGUGGAGACACGGGUUCGACUCCCGUUAGCGCUA